UACGUAGGGUGCAAGCGUUGUCCGGAAUUAUUGGGCGUAAAGAGCUCGUAGGCGGUUUGUUGCGUCGGCUGUGAAAUCCCGAGGCUCAACCUCGGGUCUGCAGUCGAUACGAGCAAACUAGAGUGUUGCAGGGGAGACUGGAAUUCCUGGUGUAGCGGUGAAAUUCGUAGAUAUCGAGAGGAACACCGGUGGCGAAGGCGGCCAACUGGACGAAGACUGACGCUGAGACACGAAAGCGUGGGGAGCAAACAGG
rnacentral:rRNA from 1 species